UGCCCCGUGGUGUAAUCCGGCAGCACAGCUGAUUCUGGAUCAGUCGGUCCAGGUUCGAAUCCUGGCGGGGCAGC
rnacentral:tRNA from 1 species